UAGGGGAAUCUUCCACAAUGGGCGAAAGCCUGAUGGAGCAACGCCGCGUGUGUGAUGAAGGGUUUCGGCUCGUAAAACACUGUUGUAAGAGAAGAAUGACAUUGAGAGUAACUGUUCAAUGUGUGACGGUAUCUUACCAGAAAGGAACGGCUAAAUACGUGCCUG
rnacentral:rRNA from 1 species